rnacentral:rRNA from 1 species
UGCAGCCGAGCGGUAUUUGUCUUUCGGGACAGAGAGAGCGGCGUACGGGUGCGGAACACGUGUGCAACCUGCCUUUAUCAGGGGGAUAGCCUUUCGAAAGGAAGAUUAAUACCCCAUAAUAUAUUAAGUGGCAUCAUUUGAUAUUGAAAACUCCGGUGGAUAGAGAUGGGCACGCGCAAGAUUAGAUAGUUGGUAGGGUAACGGCCUACCAAGUCAGUGAUCUUUAGGGGGCCUGAGAGGGUGAUCCCCCACACUGGUACUGAGACACGGACCAGACUCCUACGGGAGGCAGCAGUGAGGAAUAUUGGACAAUGGGUGAGAGCCUGAUCCAGCCAUCCCGCGUGAAGGACGACGGCCCUAUGGGUUGUAAACUUCUUUUGUAUAGGGAUAAACCUUUCCACGUGUGGAAAGCUGAAGGUACUAUACGAAUAAGCACCGGCUAACUCCGUGCCAGCAGCCGCGGUAAUACGGAGGGUGCAAGCGUUAUCCGGAUUUAUUGGGUUUAAAGGGUCCGUAGGCGGAUCUGUAAGUCAGUGGUGAAAUCUCAUAGCUUAACUAUGAAACUGCCAUUGAUACUGCAGGUCUUGAGUAAAGUAGAAGUGGCUGGAAUAAGUAGUGUAGCGGUGAAAUGCAUAGAUAUUACUUAGAACACCAAUUGCGAAGGCAGGUCACUAUGUUUUAACUGACGCUGAUGGACGAAAGCGUGGGGAGCGAACAGGAUUAGAUACCCUGGUAGUCCACGCCGUAAACGAUGCUAACUCGUUUUUGGGUUUUCGGAUUCAGAGACUAAGCGAAAGUGAUAAGUUAGCCACCUGGGGAGUACGUUCGCAAGAAUGAAACUCAAAGGAAUUGACGGGGGCCCGCACAAGCGGUGGAUUAUGUGGUUUAAUUCGAUGAUACGCGAGGAACCUUACCAAGGCUUAAAUGGGAA